rnacentral:rRNA from 1 species
UACGAAGGGGGCGAGCGUUGUUCGGAAUUACUGGGCGUAAAGGGCGCGCAGGCGGCCUUAGAAGUCAGAUGUGAAAGCCCCGGGCUCAACCUGGGAAUGGCAUUUGAUACUCUGAGGCUGGAGUACGGGAGAGGAGAGUGGAAUUCCCAGUGUAGAGGUGAAAUUCGUAGAUAUUGGGAAGAACACCGGUGGCGAAGGCGGCUACUCUGGACCGUAACUGACGCUGAGGCGCGAAAGCGUGGGGAGCA